rnacentral:rRNA from 1 species
GUCCACGCUGUAAACGAUGCAUGCUAGACGUCGGGACCUUAGGUUUCGGUGUCGCAGCUAACGCGAUAAGCAUGCCGCCUGGGGAGUACGGUCGCAAGAUUAAAACUCAAAGGAAUUGACGGGGACCCGCACAAGCGGUGGAGUAUGUGGUUUAAUUCGAAGCAACGCGCAGAACCUUACCAGCUCUUGACAUGUAACAGAAUGGUUUAGGAGACUAGAUCAGACACUUCGGGUGCUGUUAACACAGGUGCUGCAUGGCUGUCGU